rnacentral:rRNA from 1 species
CGGACGGGUGAGUAACACGUGGGUAACCUGCCUGUAAGAUUGGGAUAACUCCGGGAAACCGGAGCUAAUACCGGAUAACAUGUUGAACCGCAUGGUUCAACAUUGAAAGAUGGCUUUUGCUAUCACUUACNGAUGGACCCGCGGCGCAUUAGCUAGUUGGUGAGGUAACGGCUCACCAAGGCGACGAUGCGUAGCCNACCUGAGAGGGUGAUCGGCCACACUGGGACUGANACACGGCCCAAACUCCUACNGGAGGCAGCAGUAGGGAAUCUUCCGCAAUGGACGAAAGUCUGACGGAGCAACGCCGCGUGAACGAUGAANGCCUUCGGGUCGUAAAGUUCUGUUGUUAGGGAAGAACAAGUACCAGAGUAACUGCUGGUACCUUGACGGUACCUAACCCGAAAGCCNCGGCUAAAUACGUGCCAGCGGCCGCGGUAUACCUAAGUGGCAAGCGUUUGUCCGGAAUUA